CAGCAUACCCUAAACAGGCUGGCGAUUAUAUGGAAGCCAAUCCAGAAGGAGGAAAAAUGUAUUUAAUUGAAACAGCAGAUGAACAAAUUUCACUUAAAUCUGGUUACUAGAAGAUUGUACAAGAUGCUGGAAAUGGAAUAAAAUUGUUCCAAACUGAGAAAUAUCUGUAUUCUUAUAAAACAUUGUUUUUUAAUAAAUAUCCAACCAACAUAA